rnacentral:rRNA from 1 species
GACGAACGCUGGCGGCGUGCUUAACACAUGCAAGUCGAACGGAAAGGCCCAGCUUGCUGGGUACUCGAGUGGCGAACGGGUGAGUAACACGUGGGUGAUCUGCCCCUGACUUUGGGAUAAGCCUGGGAAACUGGGUCUAAUACCGGAUAUUCAUUUUUCCUCGCAUGGGGAUUUGUGGAAAGCUUUUGCGGUUAGGGAUGGGCCCGCCGCCUAUCAGCUUGUUGGUUGGGUAAUGGCCUACCAAGGCGACGACGGGUAGCCGACCUGAGAGGGUGAUCGGCCACACUGGGACUGAGCCACGGCCCAGACUCCUACGGGAGGCAGCAGUGGGGAAUAUUGCACAAUGGGCGCAAGCCUGAUGCAGCGACGCCGCGUGGGGGAUGACGGCCUUCGGGUUGUAAACCUCUUUCAGCUCUGACGAAGCGCAAGUGACGGUAGGAGCAGAAGAAGCGCCGGCCAACUACGUG